rnacentral:misc_RNA from 1 species
CGCACCUUGCGCUCCUUGGUAUUCCGAGGAGCAUGCCUGUUUGAGUGUCUUGAAGUCAUCAACCCGAACCGUUUUUCUUGAACGGUCAGGGCUGGAGCUGGGGGACCUUUGCCGCUCGUCACGGGCGGCUCCCCUCAAAUGCGUCGGUUGGGCCUGUGGGUCGAACUCGGCUGGGCGUUGUACCAUCCUCGCUCUAACGAGACGGACCCCUUUCCGUGCCCCUCCUCGACCUGCCCCUCGUCAGGGUCGGCGGUCAACAAACAUUUGAAAUCUGACCUCAAAUCAGGUAGGACUACCCGCUGAACUUAA